UCCGUAGGUGAACCUGCGGAGGGAUCAUUACACAA
rnacentral:rRNA from 1 species